rnacentral:miRNA from 14 species
UGGAACGGAAAUCUCGCCUAAUC